AUAUUCUAUAUUGUGCAUUAGAUGAUAGUGAACUUAAUAGCAUAUCUUUUUGCAUAACUGCUAAGGAAAUCUGGAAUAUGCUUGAAGGUAAAUAUGAAUGCACUAACAUUUUUAGUGAAUCUGAAACUAGCUCUGAAGAAGAAGAGCAGCAAACUGAAAUUAAAAAUCCUUGCUUUAUGGCAUAUGAAGAUAAUGUAUGUAUUGGAACACAAAGUGAUUUCUCAUUCCAAGAUAAAGUACAUGCUGAAACUCAAUCUGAUUUUACAUUUGAUGAACUUCAUGAUGCUUUUUCUGAUCUAUACUUAGAAUAUAAGAAGCUUAGUUUAAAGAAUAAAAAGCUAAAUCAGAAAAAUCUAUCUCUUGCUGAAAGCUAUGAUAUAACUCAGAAAAAUAAUAAAUUACUUUCAGAAGACAAUGAAAGG
rnacentral:lncRNA from 1 species